UAACAGGCCGCAAGGUGCUGACGAGUGGCGAACGGGUGAGUAAUGCAUCGGAACGUGCCCAGUCGUGGGGGAUAACGCAGCGAAAGCUGUGCUAAUACCGCAUACGAUCUAUGGAUGAAAGCGGGGGACCGUAAGGCCUCGCGCGAUUGGAGCGGCCGAUGUCAGAUUAGGUAGUUGGUGGGGUAAAGGCCUACCAAGCCAACGAUCUGUAGCUGGUCUGAGAGGACGACCAGCCACACUGGGACUGAGACACGGCCCAGACUCCUACGGGAGGCAGCAGUGGGGAAUUUUGGACAAUGGGCGCAAGCCUGAUCCAGCAAUGCCGCGUGCAGGAAGAAGGCCUUCGGGUUGUAAACUGCUUUUGUACGGAACGAAACGGUCUGGGUUAAUACCCUGGACUAAUGACGGUACCGUAAGAAUAAGCACCGGCUAACUACGUGCCAGCAGCCGCGGUAAUACGUAGGGUGCAAGCGUUAAUCGGAAUUACUGGGCGUAAAGCGUGCGCAGGCGGUUUUGUAAGACAGGCGUGAAAUCCCCGGGCUCAACCUGGGAAUUGCGCUUGUGACUGCAAGGCUGGAGUGCGGCAGAGGGGGAUGGAAUUCCGCGUGUAGCAGUGAAAUGCGUAGAUAUGCGGAGGAACACCGAUGGCGAAAGCAAUCCCCUGGGCCUGC
rnacentral:rRNA from 1 species